CCUACGGGAGGCAGCAGUGGGGGAUAUUGCACAAUGGGGGGAACCCUGAUGCAGCGACGCCGCGUGGGCGAUGGAGUGCUUCGGCAUGUAAAGCCCUAUCAGCAGGGAAGAAAAUGACGGUACCUGACUAAGAAGCCCCGGCUAAAUACGUGCCAGCAGCCGCGGUAAUACGUAUGGGGCAAGCGUUAUCCGGAUUUACUGGGUGUAAAGGGAGCGUAGGCGGCCUGGCAAGCCUGAUGUGAAAUACCGGGGCCCAACCCCGGGGCUGCAUUGGGAACUGCCAGGCUGGAGUGCCGGAGAGGCAGGCGGAAUUCCUAGUGUAGCGGUGAAAUGCGUAGAUAUUAGGAGGAACACCAGUGGCGAAGGCGGCCUGCUGGACGGUGACUGACGCUGAGGCUCGAAAGCGUGGGGAGCAAACAGGAUUAGAUACCC
rnacentral:rRNA from 1 species